rnacentral:misc_RNA from 1 species
UCUCCGUUGGUGAACCAGCGGAGGGAUCAUUACAGGGUUGCAAAACUCCCAAACCAUUGUGAACGUUACCUAUCCCGUUGCUUCGGCGGGCGGCCCGGGCCCCGCGCCCGGCGCCCCCCGGCCCCCCGUGGGCGCCCGCCGGAGGUAAACCAAACCCUUGAAUUGCAUGGCCUCUCUGAGUCUUCUGUACUGAAUAAGUCAAAACUUUCAACAACGGAUCUCUUGGUUCUGACAUCGAUGAAGAACGCAGC